AGAUUGAACGCUGGCGGCAUGCCUUACACAUGCAAGUCGAACGGCAGCACGGGGCAACCCUGGUGGCGAGUGGCGAACGGGUGAGUAAUGCAUCGGAACGUGCCCAGUAGUGGGGGAUAACUAGUCGAAAGAUUAGCUAAUACCGCAUACGACCUAUGGGUGAAAGCGGGGGAUUCGCAAGAACCUCGCGCUAUCGGAGCGGCCGAUGUCUGAUUAGCUAGUUGGCGGGGUAAAAGCCACCAAGGCUUCGAUCAGUAGCUGGUCUGAGAGGACGACCAGCCACACUGGGACUGAGACACGGCCCAGACUCCUACGGGAGGCAGCAGUGGGAAUUUUGGACAAUGGGCGCAAGCCUGAUCCAGCCAUGCCGCGUGCGGAAGAAGCCUUCGGUUGUAACCGCUUUUGGCUAGGAACGAAACGGCGCGAGCAAAUAUCUCGACGUUAAUAGGACGUUAACCUGACGUAGAAUAAACGGCAACCGGACCUAACACCGUGACCACGCUAA
rnacentral:rRNA from 1 species